rnacentral:lncRNA from 10 species
CCGUUUUUUAAGCCCGUCGGAAAAGCGCAGUAUUCGGGUGGGGUGACCUGAUUUUCCAGGUGCCCUCAGUCACCCCUUUCUUUGACUCGGAAAGGGAACUCCCUGACCCCUUGCGCUUCCCAAGUGAGGCAAUGCCUCGCCCUGCUUCGGCUCGCACACGGUGUGCGCACCCACUGACCUGCGCCCACUGUCUGGCACUCCCUAGUGAGAUGAACUGGGUACCUCAGAUGGAAAUGCAGAAAUCACCCGUCUUCUGCGUCGCUCACGCUGGGAGCUGUAGACCGGAGCUGUUCCUAUUCGGCCAUCUUGGCUCCUCCUGCUUCUUUCCUUGAUAUGAUGUUCAAACCAGGAAAAUGUGCAAAUAUCAAGGUUACCUGGGUCUGCUGGUCACUUCUAGUUUUUGGACUCUUGAAGAUGGAAACUGUUCUUAGAAGAGGCCUGAAGAGAAACAUGACUGACUAGGUAAGAUUAGAGGCUAUACCAGAUGUUUGGGUCACUCUCUGGAGGUUCCUGGGGCAGCAAGUAGAAGCUCAGCCAGUACUACGCAAGGGGGCUUUUUCCAAGCCCUUUCAGGGGCCAUGUCCUGGACAGAAACCUACCCUGAGGAGCCAGAGCACUGCGGGCAGGAGAGGAGGACCUGCCUGGAGAAGUCACAUCCAGACAUACAGCCCGGCAGCUCCUAUGGAAAAGCAGGACUUGAGCAACAGGGGGCAGCAAAGCACAACCGCCUUCUUCAGCUGAGCCCUAGGGCAGCCUUGGGAGGCAGGCAGUGAGGGGCAGGAGAGUUGGCCCCCCUCUCAGGGGACAGCUGCUUGGCUGGCCAGAGGUAAUGGCCAAGUUUGAAUCUGAAGUAGAGAUAUAUGCCAGAAAAAAAAAAGAAAAGAAUGAUGCCCUGGGCAAGUGGGAUGUGGCUAAGGCUCAGAAGAAAUUUCCUCAGCAAGAGUAAAGGGUACACUGACUUCCCCCAACCCAAGUUAUGACUGAAAACUGACACAUACACCAAUGACAUAUACAUUUUCCCUUAAGUCUCUUCCUUCUAAUUCCCCAAAUUUCUCUUUGUGGCUCAUAUUUUGGGAUAGAAAUGGAAGCAGAAAGGGAAGGGCUAAGAAGGAAUUAGAGGUAGAAAAGGCAAGAAAAAUAAUAAUGAGAAUAAACCAAAUAAAGAGAAAUAAACCAAGCUUGCCCCUUGUUG